rnacentral:rRNA from 1 species
CUUUAAUAAUAAAAGGUAUAUUCUGCCCAGUGACCUAAGUUAAACGGCCGCGGUACCCUGACCGUGCAAAGGUAGCAUAAUAAUUUGCCUCUUAAUUAGAGGCCGGAAUGAACGAACCAACGUGAGCCCAACUGUCUCCUUUAUACCCCUAAAACUUAACCUCUAGGUGAAAAGGCCUAGAUCUCCCUAAAAGACAAGAAGACCCUAUCGAGCUUUAUUGUAAACUGACAAUAAACGUAAUUAUCAAUUUACCUUUAUUCCUCAGACCAGCAAUUUUGUUGGGGCAACAAAGGAAUAACCAAAUCUUCCUUCUUUAUAUAAAUCAACCCAUACACCGACCCAGAUUAUCUGAUCACAGGACAAACGCUACCGUAGGGAUAACAGGUUAAUUUUUCUCGAGAGCCCACAUCAACAGAAAAGUUUGACACCUCGAUGUUGGCUUAGGUUUACCUACUGGUGCAGAAGCUAGUAAGGCAGGUUUGUUCAACCUUUAAUAACCUACGUGAUCUGAGUCAGACCGGA